ensembl:lncRNA
CUCCCUUUUUCCCUCCCUCUGUACUUUUCCCCUUUUCAUUCAUGGUAUCCCUUCGUCCUUCAACACCCUCAGUAACUGCUUUGGAUAAUAUAACCCCACACAAAUCCUUUUAGAAAAGCAGGUUUAUUGGUCCGGCUGCUCACCAGAACACAGCAACAUGAGGGGCUCCCCUAGAGCCCACAGGAAACUGCAUCUGCCCACAACUUAGGCCCCUUCAGCCCACCAGCACCAAGGGACCUCAUCCUACCUCCUCCCCCUCUGCUUAUGUGUCUUCAAUCAUUUGGAGGAGGGAGGGGAACCAAGAAAAAAAAAAGAAAAUUAAAAAUUAAAAAAAAGCAAAGCUUCGUGUUGUAUAAAAGAUUUGUGGUUUCCAUCCCCUGCCCCGCAACACACACCCGCCAAAUAUCAAUUAACUGCAAUUCUAAAAAGCAAAGUAGGGAAGAUAAGUAGUUGGGGAGAAGGAAGCAACCUCUAGCCAUCAUUUGGGGGAGGGGAAGAGGGGACCACUGUGUCUUCAGGAGAAAACCUGGCCAAUGACUAUAGAAAUGAAGCCUCCAACAAGAAGCAGCACCCUGCCCCCAAACUUUCAGGUAAGGUGUCCCCAAAGGCAAGUAACUUAGAAAGGCCUUGGCAAGCUCUGCAACUUUACACUAGGGAAAGAUCCACGCUAAAAGCUGCUCGGAGGGAGCUGGAGUGGACAAGCCAGCAAGCCCCUGCUUCUCCAGCUGCACUAGGAAUUUCUGCUCCCGGACUGGCCCUUGCUCUCUUCCUAUUACCUCCCGUCGGAACUUCUAGUUCUCCACAGCUUGCUGCUGCCCCCUGCUGGAAUCCCAAUUUUCUGGGCUUGGAAAACUAGGCUUCCCUUCUGGCAGACCCUGGAAGAGAGGAUUCAGUCCGGCUUCCUCUCUUUGGAAUACACUUUCUAGAAGAAACCGUCCUGCGCCUCGAGACCCUACCAGAGUGGGAUUCUUGCUUCAGUUUUUGCUGCUAAUGAGGGCAUGUCUUAUUUUUUUUAAAUCCCAUUUCAACUUCCUCCUCUGUUUCUCCCUUUCUUCCCAAAGCCAUACUCAUGUGCUCCUGCGUGCAGAUUUUGUAGACUUGUAAAUGUGCCCUUCCCUCUCCCCCACACCUACCAUCCUUUCCCCAGCUCUGCUUGCCUCCUGCUUACUUGGGUGGAACCUUUAUCCAGGGUCAAGGCACACUCUGCCUCCACCCCCACCCUAUUGUCUUAGGUUCCCCCAAAGGCCCUCAGGUCUUCCAGUGGGCUACCUCCCAUAAGAGCAAAGGUCUCCCUACGCAUAAUUCUUUCUUAGUGACGCCACCACUUUCUCAACAUGGGCUCUAUUACUUAUACACCCCAGCCAUCUCUCCUUAUUUUGAAACAGGGUCUCACUGAAUUACUCGGGCUGGCUUUGAACUCACUCUAUAGUCCAGACAGGCCUUGAAUUUUCAAUUCUCCCAUCUCAGCCUCCCAGGUAGCUGGGAUAGCAAGCUGGCACUAAAAGGCUGCCCCUGCAAGGGUUGUCUUUAGGAUUCCCUCUUUCCUCUUGCAGAAAUUUUGGCUUUAGAGUCUCCUGGGAUGGGGGUAAGGUAAAAGAGCUCAGACAGCGGGAGUGGUGCCGCUGAGUAUGAAGCUGUGGUGGAGAGGCCGAGUGGAAGGCAGAUUCCCUGUAGGGGCCCAACUGGAGAGCUAAGAAAAAGAUUCCUAGACCAGGACAACCAGGGCAUGGGCCAUUCUUCCUACUUCCUACCCAGAGUGUGUCCAAAUUGAGGCUGUCCAUGGUGGGAGACCACCUCCCCUCGGCCUAAGGCUUGUGCUCUGAAGGGGUGCGCGUUUCCAGGGUGUGUUUUCAGUUUAGAAAAAAAGCUCAACCAGCAUGGAGCUGAGGAGAAUGCGAAAUAGAAAGUUUGAGAAGAGAAAGGAGGUGGGCAGGGGUGGGGGUCAGGGAGCGGCGGGGUCAGGCACCGGCCUCCAGGGCAGAGCCCCGAGAGAGUCCUGCUCAGUCGCUGUCGCUCUUGUCCACCAGGACGGCGUCUGACUCCUCGGUGAU